AAAAAGAUGUCCGAUUAAGGUAAUAAAUUGUAAAUUUAUUUAUGGUUAAGCCUCUUUUUA
rnacentral:tRNA from 1 species